rnacentral:rRNA from 1 species
GAUGAACGCUAGCUACAGGCUUAACACAUGCAAGUCGCGGGGCAGCAUGGGGGUUGCUUGCAAUCCCCGAUGGCGACCGGCGCACGGGUGAGUAACGCGUAUCCAACCUGCCCUUCACCACGGGAUAACCCGGCGAAAGUCGGACUAAUACCGUAUGUUGUCCAUUGACGGCAUCCGAUUUGGACGAAAGGCUUGGCGGUGAGGGAUGGGGAUGCGUCCGAUUAGCCAGACGGCGGGGUAACGGCCCACCGUGGCUACGAUCGGUAGGGGUUCUGAGAGGAAGGUCCCCCACACUGGAACUGAGACACGGUCCAGACUCCUACGGGGGGCAGCAGUGAGGAAUAUUGGUCAAUGGGCGUAAGCCUGAACCAGCCAAGUAGCGUGCAGGAUGACGGCCCUAUGGGUUGUAAACUGCUUUUAUGCGGGGAUAAAGUGGCCCACGUGUGGGCUUUUGCAGGUACCGCAUGAAUAAGGACCGGCUAAUUCCGUG